rnacentral:tmRNA from 1 species
GGGGCUGAUUGGUUUCGACUAGGGACGUUAGUCCCAGGAGAAGCGGGUCGAGAAGCCAACGUCAUCUCGUAAACGUUCGUUGGAAACCUAUAACUGCCAACAACACUCGCAGUUCCUUCGCUCUCGCUGCCUGAGCAGUGAUCGAAGCGUCAGACUGGGCAUCCGCCUUCGUCCCAGAUCCUGGCGUCAUCCAGAAGGCUUGCUGAUCAACUUCCGCGGGGAGGGUUGAUCGGGACUUAAUCCCGGCUGAGCCCGUCGGCGCACGUGUCUGUGCAAGCGCCGGGGCCGAGAAACACGCCAUUGCAGACUGCACCCGGAGAAGACCUGGUACGGCGCUCAAGGACGCGGGUUCGAUUCCCGCCAGCUCCACCC